rnacentral:rRNA from 1 species
UACGUAGGGUGCGAGCGUUUGUCCGGAAUUAUUGGGCGUAAAGGGCUCGUAGGCGGUUUGUCGCGUCGGGAGUGAAAUCCACUGGCUUAACUGGUGGCUUGCUUUCGAUACGGGCAGACUGGAGGUAUGCAGGGGAGAACGGAAUUCCUGGUGUAGCGGUGAAAUGCGCAGAUAUCAGGAGGAACACCGGUGGCGAAGGCGGUUCUCUGGGCAUGUCCUGACGUGAGGAGCGAAAGUGUGGGGAGCGAACAGG